rnacentral:ncRNA from 1 species
GAAUAGUUUUAUUCUGGCUAGUUUAUUUAUUUUGACUUUGUUUUAUAUGUGAGUUUUAUUGCUUGAUUGAUUUAAUUAUAUUUGAUUCUAUGAUGAUUAAUUAUUUAUUGGUUGUUUUGCAGUUUUUAGUAUUAUUUAUUUAAGGGAUUUAGAUGUAGUUGUAGUUUUGAGUUUUGGUAAAGUUUGUGCCAGCAACCGCGGUUAUACAUUUAAUGCAAGUGAAUAGUUAUAGUUAUAUAGUUAAUUUUUAUUUAUGGUUUGUUUUUAUAUUUAUUGUUGGGUGAAAUUUUAAUUUUUAUGGUUUAUCAUUUUUGUUUAUUGAAGCUAUAAAAUCUUUAUUUUAAACUAGGAUUAGAUACCCUAUUAUUGGUAGAUGUAAAUUUUUUUACUUGAGUAGUAUUAGUUAUGAUCUUAAAACUUAAAGAAUUUGGCGGCAUUUUAGUCUGUUUAGAGGAAUCUGUUCCGUUAUCGAUAUUCCGCGUUGGAACUUACUUAAUGUCAGGUUUAUAUACCGCCGUUUGAUUUAUGAGAAUCCUUAUUUUGGGUUUAAAUAAUUUUCUUAUUACUUUUAGUGAGUAUUAUUUCAGGUCAAGGUUUAAUUUAUGGUUAAGGGGAGAUGGAUUACAAUAAAUUUUAGUUUAAUUAUGGAUUAUUAAUUGUAAUAUUUAAUAUGAAAGUGGAUUUAACAGUAAUUUUUCUUAUUAUGGUUUAAUGAUUUUAGCUCUAAAAUGUGUACACAUCGCCCGUCGCUCUCGUUUGUUUAAUGAGAUAAGUCGUAACAUAGUAGUUGUACUGGAAAGUGUUGCUAGAUUGAC